UAACAUCAUUCGAGGGCCAUACAAAAUUAUCAACUCAAAAAAUAGCCUGCUAUAUUUGGUCGAACAUUUAAGUAACUCACCCUUAAUGCCAGACUCAAUG